rnacentral:misc_RNA from 1 species
AACGCAAAUUGCACUCCCUGGUAUUCCGGGGAGUAUGCCUGUUUGAGGGUCGUUAGAAUAAAAAUCGAGGCGUCGCUCUUUUUUUCAAGGGUGAUCGCGUCGGAAUUGAGCCGUCUUUCAAAUGUUAAUUCAUGUCAAAGUGGCUUAAAAUUCAUCCAUCCGGUACGAUUAAAGCGUAUUUAAGAUCAAUUUUGUUCAAGAACGCGCGAUGACGUACCAUCUCAUGUAGUACGUUUGACCUGGCGUCGUCAGGUUCAUUCGUAUACGAUACUCAAACUUUUGACCUCAAAUCAGGUAAGAAUACCCGCUGAACUUAA